AGUGGCGCACGGGUGCGUAACACGUAUGCAACCUACCUCUAACUGGGGAAUAGCCUCCCGAAAGGGAGAUUAAUACCGCAUAAAAUUACGAAGGGGCAUCUCUUUGUAAUCAAACCUCAGGGGGUUAGAGAUGGGCAUGCGUCCGAUUAGCUAGUUGGCGGGGUAACGGCUCACCAAGGCUACGAUCGGUAGGGGGUCUGAGAGGAUGACCCCCCCACACUGGUACUGAGACACGGACCAG
rnacentral:rRNA from 1 species